AAAACGACUCUCGGCAACGGAUAUCUCGGCUCUCGCAUCGAUGAAGAACGUAGCGAAAUGCGAUACUUGGUGUGAAUUGCAGAAUCCCGUGAACCAUCGAGUCUUUGAACGCAAGUUGCGCCCAAAGCCUUUUGGUUGAGGGCACGUCUGCCUGGGU
rnacentral:rRNA from 17 species